rnacentral:rRNA from 1 species
AUUGAACGCUGGCGGCGUGCCUAACACAUGCAAGUCGAGCGGUAACAGGUGUAGCAAUACAUGCUGACGAGCGGCGAACGGGUGAGUAAUGCUUUGGAAUCUUCCCAGUAGUGGGGAAUAACCAGUCGAAAGAUUGGCUAAUACCGCAUACGUCUGUAAAGGGAAAGCGGGGGCUCGUAAGACCUCGCGCUAUUGGAUGAGCCAAAGUCGGAUUAGCUAGUUGGUGGGGUAAGGCCUACCAAGGCGACAAUCCGUAGCUGGUCUGAGAGGACGACCAGCCACACCGGAACUGAGACACGGUCCGGACUCCUACGGGAGGCAGCAGUGGGGAAUAUUGGACAAUGGGGAAACCCUGAUCCAGCGACGCCACGUGUGUGAAGAAGGCCUGCGGGUUGUAAAGCACUUUUAGUGGGGACAAAAAGCUACGGAUUAAUACUCUGUGGUCUUGAUUUAACCCAAAGAAAAGCACCGGCUAACUCUGU